UACGUAGGUGGCAAGCGUUGUCCGGAUUUACUGGGCGUAAAGGGCGCGUAGGCGGCAUGACAAGUCACUUGUGAAAUCUCUGGGCUUAACCCAGAACGGCCAAGUGAUACUGUCACGCUAGAGUGCGGAAGGGGCAAUCGGAAUUCUUGGUGUAGCGGUGAAAUGCGUAGAUAUCAAGAGGAACACCUGAGGUGAAGACGGGUUGCUGGGCCGACACUGACGCUGACAGCGCGAAAGCCAGGGGAGCAAACGGG
rnacentral:rRNA from 1 species